AUUUGAUUCUGGCAAUUCAGAUGCACUCCACCCUGAGAAUUAUGAAUCCAGAAGAGGUGUAUGGGGCUGAAGGGGGUGGGGGUGUAUACAUCAGUCCUUAAAGAACCUUGAUUUCUGACUGCCUUUUGACCUCCUCUCAGGGAUUGGGUGAAGCUGGAGUAUUCUUGGGGUCAUCCGUGUUGUUUGCCAUAUAUGAUGCCGUGACUGCUGCCCGCAGAGAGAGGGGGCUAACCCAGACCUUCCCCCUGAGUAGCCCAGCAACUCCUGAGUUGAUUCGGAUGACUUGUGUGGAUCAGUUUACUGGAAUGAUUCCCAGAGAUGAUCCUUCAACAUUUAUACCUUGGUCCCUCCGUGUGUCUUAAUCCCGUUUAUCUUAGAAAAUGUAAGAAUACAUGAUUAAAGUUAAAAUUUCCAAGCUGGA